UAAAGAUUUCCAAAUUUUCCUUGCUUGCCUAGCUUCUACGAGUAGGCACCAUCACGACUCCCGAGGAUGGAAAAUCCGGGUCGUGACAAAAUACAAACACAUGCUAAUUGAAAGAGAGAGCUCAGAUACUAUUGACCUAUUUAAAAAUAAGCUAGCAAAGCAGAUACUUAAUCCUAACUAUAUGAGCUACUCUCCAAAUCCAGCGAAUCAUAAUGAAACCCGUGUAAACUAUUACAAUUGCUUAACAAGUUUUCAAACUACUGAGAACUAUGCAUGGAACAACUAAUGCUACAUGAUCAUUUAUAUGAAUACUAAGUCCAAAUUGACAUCCUUAUCCAACAGAUUUCAUGAAAAAAAUAGAAAAGUUAACCAACUAUAUUGUUUCUUAAUCGUUGCAAAAAACUAAGCAAGGCAUGCUAUACAUCUCCAUUUUUCAAUCAGGAGUUCAUGAGAGUACCUGGACAUCAAAGCAAAACAAAAUGUGAGGAUUUCAGCCAAAUAUUAGCGUAAGCAAAACAGCAAAACAACAGAAACCACAGCUUCCAAAACUAAACCAUGCUUCAGCCUUUUUGGAGUUCGAAAAUUUCAGAGAAUUUCUUCUAAUUUUCUUGUGAAAAUUAGGAAUGUUUUAGCUAAACAAUGCAGAACCUUUAGUGCAUAGAAUGAUGCUUCAAAAUCUCCGUGAGUGAAAGAAAAAGGCACAACAUAUAGGCCUCUCAGGCCAUGUGCUCAAAAACCAAUCAAGGAAAUAUUCCCCAGCCUGCAAAAGGCAUAUUUAACUGCCCGGGACAGCUGGCUGUCCCGUAUUGGCUCAGCAUAUUUAUGCUAACCAAAUAGGGACAGUUGCCCCCUUCUUUAGAAGCUUAUUGCACUAGCUUUAUCCAAACUUGAUUCUUACCCUUCCUAGACCCCUUAAGUUCUCCCUUAUAGUAUUGAACCCCCUAAACUUCCAUUUGUUCAUGAAUUAGACCUAAAAAACAAAAACCAAGACUGGCACAACUUGACCGAUUGAAAGGACCAAACAUUUAUGCAAUUAGCCCUUGAAUUAACUCUAAAUUUAAACAAUUUAUCAAUGAGAUGAGAUCAAAAAUGACACAACAUUUAAACAUUUGAAACCAACAUUAACAUGAAUUAACCAAUGAAUGAUUCAUUUUCUGAGGUUCGAACCCUUUGAACAAAUUAACAUUGCCAUUAACAGUGAAUCAAACUACCAUGAGAGAUUAACAUGCUGAUUUCAAAACGAACUUAACUAAACACAAACUAAACCAAUUUAGAUAAACACUAGCCAAGAAAACUGAACAUCUAAUGACUCUGAUGGGAAAUGCAUAAAUUAACCCUAAACUACUAACUAACAAUGAUGAUUUAGCACAAAAGUUAACAAACAAUUUUAAAACAUUAAAACCCUAAAUCAUGCAACUAUGAAUCGGAUCAAACACAACAAGAAAUCAAUCAAAGAAAAGAAAACAAAUGAGCCGUUACCUAUACCAAUUGGAACUUGGAGAAACUGGUCGGAACUUGGACAUGGCUAGGGCAGGUUUGAAAAAAUGAAUCAGACCCACAUGAAUCAAUUGCUCCUGUUGAGAUCAAAUGACUCAUGCGGGUAUGAACCAUUCAAAUUUCAGUAAAAGCUUAGGUUUUCUUAUUCUUCUUUUUUUCAGAUUUUUGAUUUGAAAUUGCUCCAGUUUGAAAGGCCUUUUGAGCAAAUCAACAGGAUAUUAGGGGUGAAAGGAAUGGGGAGAUGACCUAGUGAGGUUUUGGGUAGGUUUAGGCGAACUAGGGUUUUGGGUACUGAUCUUAGAUCUAAAAUUAGUGUGUUUUGAGAGGGAUUCGAGGGAAUUGAUUCUGGUAUUUGGAAAGAGGAGGAGGUGAAGAGUGUUUGAUGUGAAUUUGGAGUGAAUCGGAGCACCGGAACCGCUGUGAGGUAAUUUUCUGUGGGUGGACUAAGGCGGAGACGGUGGGGAUUUUAGGGGCGGUGGGUCUCUAGGGUUUGGAGGUUAGAGGCGGAC
rnacentral:lncRNA from 1 species